GACGAACGCUGGCGGCGUGCUUAACACAUGCAAGUCGAACGGAAAGGCCCUGCUUUUGUGGGGUGCUCGAGUGGCGAACGGGUGAGUAACACGUGAGUAACCUGCCCUUGACUUUGGGAUAACUUCAGGAAACUGGGGCUAAUACCGGAUAGGAGCUCCUGCUGCAUGGUGGGGGUUGGAAAGUUUCGGCGGUUGGGGAUGGACUCGCGGCUUAUCAGCUUGUUGGUGGGGUAGUGGCUUACCAAGGCUUUGACGGGUAGCCGGCCUGAGAGGGUGACCGGCCACAUUGGGACUGAGAUACGGCCCAGACUCCUACGGGAGGCAACAGUGGGGAAUAUUGCACAAUGGGCGGAAGCCUGAUGCAGCAACGCCGCGUGCGGGAUGACGGCCUUCGGGUUGUAAACCGUUUUCGCCUGUGACGAAGCGUGAGUGACGGUAAUGGGUAAAGAAGCACCGGCUAACUACGUG
rnacentral:rRNA from 1 species